ncrna:unclassified sequences NiCo riboswitch
ACAGUACAAACUGAACAGGCGGUAAACCUUUGGUUUUAGCGGCCGGGCCCAUCGGGCAGCAGAUUCGUAAAUAAACAUCUGCGGGACAGUA